AACCCAGCCGGCCUGGCCCAGCCCACCCUCACUCACAACAGGAGAAUCCCAGCAGUCUCCUCAGAAUCACACCAGCCUCAAAGAAGCAGCUCAACCCUUGGGAGGCGCUUAAUGGCAGGAUGUUUUUACGGGCCUAAAUUGUCCAGAAAGGAACGGAAAGGAGGCCAGGGAGAUUGAUAGAAGAAUCUGUUUCGACCUCUGUGAAAUAAGAAAAAUGCACGCCGCUUUCUAGUCUUUGUUAGGAACUAAGGACAGCCUAGCACCGGCCCUGGUGAUAGAUAUGAAAAAUGAGGUUCAGAGAGGCUAUGCAACUUGUCCAAGACCACACAGCUCAGAAAUGGCAGAAGGAUUUAAACUGAGGACUUUCUAAGACCCUCCCCCUUUUCACCUUAGCCCACAACUUCUCGCGCUGUGUCCUCGGGGUGACAGGGACGGGAGCCUGGGAACCAAUCUGCGCGGCCAGGGUCUGUCCGAAGUCCGAGCUCAGUCCCUCCGCUCUCCAGGUCUGGGCGAAGCCGAGGGAGGCAGAGUGUGUACAAGGCCCUCAAGGCAGCUCCCCAGUUUGGGGUAAAUAGGCUCUGAGACGGUGCGGGUGCGUCCGCUCCUCCCCAGCUCUCCGGCUGCCACCACGGGAGAACCACAACCUACUCUCCGGUGUCUGUCUCCCCCUCUCCCUGGCUAACUUAUUUCUCUGUGAAAAACGAAGCGAUUCUAAGAGAUUACAUUGAACCCACUGCCUGAAAACACUUCCGUGAGCAACAGCCCCCAAACUCCAAGCACACUAGCUUCCAAGCUCCACACAACAGCCUCGCCUCCUAGCUGGUGCAAUUGCGCAUGCGCGAGCGGCUGAGCUAGCCCGGAGUGCGAUUCCGUGUUUGCGCACGCGCGAGUGAGGCGUGGGUGAGAAGGUGACGGGGUGAGCGUGCAUGAGCGUGAGAAUGGGUGUGUGCGGGAGGGUGUGUGUCAAGUGAAUGUGCAUGUCAGCAAGUGUGUGAAGAGCUGUGGAGUGUGAAUAUGAGCAGCGUGGGUGUAAGUGUAAAAGUGAAGAGUGUAGGUGUUUUAGGAGCUUGGGUGGAGAGGUUGUAAGCCUAAGUGUGCCUGUGAAUAUAGGAGUGUGUGGCUAUAAGAAUGUGAGGGUUAGACUGAGGGUGUGAGAAUGUAUGUGCUGGCGAGGGUGUAUGAGUGGGCAUGUGAGUGUGAGAAAAGUGUAGGGUCCCAUGAGUAUGUGCCAGGGUGUGUGCGUUCGUGGAAGCACGUGUGU